CGGGGGGGGUUCAGUCGCUAUUCGCAUCACUUGUACUUAAUAUAAUUUACAAGAGAUGUCGUAAGGGAAAAUAAUGAUAUUACCUUACUAAUAGUGUCGUCAAAAACUGGUGCCAGAAGACUCGGUAAGGCCAGAGACGCAAACGUUAAUCAUCUUAAUCAGGCGUAAAGGGUUAGUAGGCUGCUUUGAAAGUCUUAAUUUUAUAUAGCUCUUAUUAUUAAUUGUCUUCUUAGACAAAAAUAUAUGAUAUAAAUUUAAGAUGAAUUAAAGCUAGAAUCAAAUAGAGGUUAUAUUAAAUAAUACUUAGAGGAGGGAUUAAAUCCAUAGAUACUAAGAGGAAUACUAAAGGCGAAGGCAUUUUACCACUAAUGAUUGACGCUAAGGAACGAAGGUGAGGAUAGGAAAUAGGAUUAGAUACCCCGGUACCCCUCUCAGUCAACGAUGAAUGGUAGUUUUUAGCUUAGAUAGUUAGAGACGAUGUUAACACGUUAACCAUUCCGCCUUGUGAGUACGAUUGCAAAAUUGAAAACAAAAAAAUUAGUCGGUCUCGGAGCAAACGAAGUGAAGCAUGUUAUUUAAUUCGAUAAUCCGCAA
rnacentral:rRNA from 1 species